rnacentral:lncRNA from 1 species
GACAAAAGCUGAGCGUGUAGGGUGAGCGUGAGUCGGAGCGACGCUGGGAUCGGAGGCGACAGUGAGGAGUCGGUUGAGAGGAGGCGGAGCGUUUGGAAACCCUAGGGUUUUGCUUUUUAGAUUUAAUUUUCAAAAGUGAUCAUAAAAUAUUACAACAAAGAAUUUAUACUAACUCUCUAAUGGGCCUUGAGUAUGAGCCAAUCUUAAACUACUAAAUUAAUCCAUUCUAAUUUGGAUUAGAUACUUAAUCCUUCAAUACUUCAAUAUACUUCAAUAGUUUAUUUUCGGAUCUUUUUCCCACAUGGUUUCAGAAUGAUUCAAUCGGAUUCUCCUCAUCUUCACCUACCCCCAACUCCUCAUGCAUAAUUCCAAUGGUCCAACAUGGUAUCAGAGAAUCAGAUAUGGAAGGAAGGAAGGGAUCUAUUGACAAGCAGUAGUACGUGUACAUAUAUAUAUAUAUACACGCUCCAACUUAAGAACGCACAAUUAAUGGUGGAGGGAUUUUAGAGCGAUUCAAUGCACAAUUAAGCACACUAUACAUCAAGUCAACCCAACUUCAAGAAGCAAUUCAUAACCAUCGUUAAUUAUAACGAUCCUCCCUGCUAGAAGUCGAUUCUUCACCACAGAUCGGAGACUGUCGUAUUAAUAUUAAAACAGUGUUUGGAAAGGAUUGUGAGAUCCUUGGAGAAACUCUUGUAUUUUGUAAAAGAGAAAAUCAAUUAUCAAAAAAGUAUAUAGUCAAUACAAACUAAAGUAUUUAUAUGACACUAUUACAGUAACUGAUCCUUACAAAUAACUAUUGUAUUAAGAAUCACUAAUACACCUCUAAUGGUAAUUAGUGUAAGUUUGAUAAUGAGCAUAUUUGUGUCUUAACAAGGAUGUGGUGGUCGAUAUCGAUGCUCCGUUGAUCCCAAACGCCACUGACAUUAUCAGAGAACGCCACCCGAAUGAACCGUUGGCUAAUGGAAUUUGGACACCAGAAUUCAGAAAACAUUUUAAUGUUGGAUCGUGAUCAGAGACUGUAAUGGAGGUGAUAAUCUUUUUUUGCGUAAUCUCAAAUUAGUGAGAAAUGUACUAACUCAAUAUAUAGAUACUAAGUCAAUUUUAUUAAUUAACGACAAGUAUAGUAUAUGAAUACUAUAUUUAAAUAACAAAUAAUUAUAUUAAUUAAUUAGCGACCUCAAUCAAUAGAUCAGAUAACUAGAUGAGAAUAUAGACGUAUAAAAUAACCUCUAAUUAAUGAUCAGAUGACAUGAAAAGGGAUAGCUUUUGAAAAAAAAACGUAAAAUAAAAAUCAAGUACUGAUUUAUACUGAUUCACUCAAAUUAGAGUUAAUUCAAUUUCGAUGAAACACGGAGACUACUCAUCUAAGGGUUUUGGUAAUAUUUCUUUGUAAACUUUUAUGGUUACAAAGUUUACGAACUUAAGUCUUUACAGACAUACACCUAAAAGUUAAUAGGUAACUUUAUAAUACCUCUCAAGUUUUUACAGGUAAGACCUUAGAGUUUUCUUGGUAACUAUAUAAAACAAAAUCUUAAACUUUUUGGUUCGAUCAACUCAAAAACCUCCAGUCUUUGCUCACACUUUAGUGAUCUUGAGAUAAAUCUCUCAAUCAAAGUGAAACACACACAAAAUAAUAGCGGUUGAGUGGGAAACUUAAACACAAAUCUCAUUAUUUACUUACUUUGAAGACUAAAAAGAUUAAAAGAAAAAUCGAUAGAUUUUUCCAGCUUGUAUGUGUUUGCAUGUGGUGAAAGAUUUUUUUGAAUAUUCUUCUUAUUUUAUAGACUUGACAAAUUAAUUUCCAUAAAUUUUCAAUUGAUGUUUUUUUGAUAUUGGAAGUUGAUUCUUGCAAAUUGAUUUUUUUGUUAGAAUAUAAUAUUGUACAUGAGUUGUCAAUACCCACAAUCAAUGAAUGAAUGUGAUGUCAGAAUAUAUGAUUAUAUUAUGAGUUAUCAAUAACCACAAUUAGCGUGACGACUUGAGCCUAUCGAACUGAAUACUUGAAUAUUUGGUUCGGUUCGUUUAAAUAAACGAGCAUAUUCUUGGGUUUGGAUUUGGUUCGUUUAAUAACCGAACCUAACCUAACCCGAACUUGAAUCCGAACUGAAUAGUUCGUCGAAUACUGAACUUUUUUUACAUCAUUUUAAAAAUAAACAUUAAAAAAAAAUAAACAUGUCCAUUGACAACUUUAAAAAAUAAACAAUAAAAAAACAUUAUUUAUAGUCUUUUUUUUAUUAAGUCAAUCUUUAGUCAUCUUUUUUUGUUGAUUAAAAAUCGACCUUAAUUAUGAAAUAUAUAAUAUAAAUUUAUAAUAAAAAAUUAUAUAAUAUAAGUUUCUAAUAUAAAUAUAAAAUAUAAUAAAAAUGUUUAAGGAACUAAACUGUUCGUCAAACCUCAACCAAGGUUUGAGUUCGGUUCGGGUUCGGUUCGUUUAAUAACCGAAUCGAACCGAAUCCGAAACAAACCGAAGAGUUCGUCGAAUGCCGAACUUUUGUUGUCACGUUACCCACAAUCAAUGAGAUAUACAUAAUAGCUAAUUUAGAUCUCUAAUUAUGGUCAAAUUGUAACAUAAUUAUAAUAACUUUUUGUAUAUAAAUAUAUAAAUCUUGAUGAAUCAAUCAUUAAGUCAUAUUUUACUGACGUUUUAUUUUUAUUUUUAUUUCUUUUUUUAAAGGUGAUUUAGAUUAAAAUUAAAAUAAAGAAAUUACAAAACUACAAUAAAAAGGAAAGAAAACAGUUAAUUAAACAAAUAAAAGUACAAUAAGAUGUGUAGAAUAAGUAUAGCUUGUUAAUUAUCGACUUUCAAUAGCGAGUUUUUACAACUUUUAUCAUUCUUUUUCUAUUCCCUUAUCAUCCUUUUCAACUUUUUUGACACAGAUAUCCAAGAUAUAUUAUCGAAUCCAAAUUCGACAACUAAGUCUAAUAGUCUAUAGGUGUUCUUAUUUUCUAAUUGAAUAAUAUUUUAACACUGGGAGUGAUAGGUUGAAAAUUCCAUAUAUAUAUAUAUAUAUAUAUAUACAACCUUCACAGUUCACACGGCACACAAAAUUAAUAUAGGUUCAAAAUUUGAAAAAGAAAACAAAUAUUAAUCAUAUUAUAAUUUCCCGACACAAAUUAACACAAUAAUGCUCACAGAGUCACAGGCUCACAGACAGGCAGCCAGCCUAGAAAGUUGAGAUUCGAAACAAAAUCUAAAUUAUAAUAAUAGAAUAAUUUUCAAGUGAAUCACUCUUAAGGGAGCCCAAAAAAGCUCAUGUUUAAGAUGUCAAACGAGUCAGUUCGAGUUAAGGAAUUAUCCAGGCUCCGAGCUCGGGCUCGGUUCGUUAAUAAAUUCUUCAGGCUUGGGUUUGAUAAGCUUAUCGAAAAAUAUCUAUAUUUAGUAUUUUUUUUAGAUUUAUGUUUUUAUAUAAGUUUUCUUAUAAUUUAUUAAGUAGCUUUAUCAAUUAAUAACUAUAAGUCUAUAACCCUUAUAUUUAUAUUAUAUUUAAUUAUUAAAAAUCUCUUAACGAGCCAAGUCGAGUUUGAAAAGUCCAAACUCGAGUUCAACUCGAUAAGCUUAUCGAGUUUAAGCUUUAGACUCGAGCUCGGCUCGUUGCUCGCGAAUCCGAACUUAACAAGCUGAACUUUAAUUGACACCCUACUCAUAUCAUCCUAAACUUUUAUUUAUUUAAUCUUUAAAAAAAAUAUUUCUAUCUUUUUUUUAAAUGAAAGAAAGAGACUGUUUUUUUUUCCGCUCAUAAUGGUUUUCUAUGAACUUUCUUCUAUAAUAAUAACAAUCAAACAAUAAUUCUCAUUAGCUAGCUGCGGACUUAAUUAUAUUGUUUUUUUUUUAAUAAAAUUAUCUGGUAAUAUAUAAAUUUUAAAAUAAAAAAAAGGUGUGAUCACAUGCGAUCCACCUCACAUCCUCCAAGUUGAUCCAACCACGUGAUCUUACGAUCAUUUAAGUCUUCAACAAUCUUUGGAGACUGAUUAGAUAUUUUCUAAAACGAUCUAUGCUAGUUGAACUUGGACAAUGAAAAGUAUAAAAACAUUGAAAAAGAACCCUGCCUACUUAUGUUGCGUUUAGUAAAAAGUCUUAGUUUUUUCCAUAAGCAAACAAAAUUCUGGCAGAGAAAAAAAGAACCCUAAGUGGACGUUUAAGUUUAAAGGUAGAUUCAGUGUCUACAUCCAAUAGAAAAAAAUUAUAAUGUCUUGUUAAAGUCAUUAUUGUUUUUGGCACUACUUUCUAAACAACCGCCCACCAUACAAACACACAAUCACCCAUGUGUGUUAAGAAGCAGUUAUUAUAUCGUCAUCUAUUCUAUUUUGCAGACAAGAUCGAAAAAGAAACCGAUGAUGAGUGAAUUGGUGGUACCUGAGUCGGCGAUAUGGGUGACGGUGUCGAGCUGGUUCACACCGAGAGUUCUCUUUGUCGUGCUCAACAUCGUUAUCGGAACUAUCGCCAUCAGAUCGAAACUAUCGAACACGUCUCAAUCCGACGACGGAAAUAGAAUCGAAGGUGGAGGAGAAUUCGAAUUUGGUCACGACGACCACUACUACCAACCGCGAUUGUUGUCACGCGGAUCAUCGAUCGUCGCCAGACUUAAAUCGAUCAACCUCCAUCGGCACGUCUCCUCCGCAUUCGCACCUUUCACGACCGAAACCCUGCAGCCACCACCAUCAGAAGAUGCAGUAAGAUCGAAACUAUCGAACACGUCUCAAUCCGACGACGGAAAUAGAAUCGAAGGUGGAGGAGAAUUCGAAUUUGGUCACGACGGCCACUACUACCAACCGCGAUUGCUGUCACGCGGAUCAUCGAUCGUCGCCAGACUUAAAUCGAUCAACCUCCAUCGGCACGUCUCCUCCGUAUUCGCACCUUUCACGACCGAAACUCUGCAGCAACCGCCAUCUGAAGAUGCAGUAACCACCUCUGAUCGUAAGGAAGAGAUCCAGAAAGAGCCAGAGAUGGAUCAAGUCGACUCGGAUUCAGUACUGACGAUGGAAGAAGCUUACAUGGCGGCCAAGAGAGGCAACACUAACCACAGCUUGUCUUUGCAGAACAAGGUCGUGAUGCAGGAGUUAAGGAAGAGUGUGACUAAGACUGCGACUGCAAAGGAAAAGGCAAAAUUGAAGGCGAAGGCGGCGAGAGUGGAAGAAGAUGAAGUCGACGCGAGAGCUGAUGAUUUCAUAAACAGGUUUAAAAAACAGUUACAGCUUCAGAGAAUGGAAUCUCUGGACAGGUUGAAGAAGAUGAUCAGUCGUGGAACUGAGAAAUAAAUUAGAAACAUCGAAAAUCAAAAUCAUUGGUUCAUGUCUGCUUGCCUGCUCACAUUUCGUUGUUCUUGUUUAUUAUUUCUUUUGUUUCUCCUAGGAACUAGGGUUGAUUUUACAAUUGUGUGAGGUACAAUUGUACAAAUGUGCAAUUGUUUCCAAAUUUUAUUUUCUAAGGUCUCAAAAAUUUGACAUUCGCAUCUGUCAAAUCACAUUACACAUCUGUCAAAUCACAUUAUCUCUCAAAGACUAAGUUACGCACGCCUUCAUUGAUAGAAUAGUAGUGGCUGUGAAUAAAGCUUUUUUCUCUAAUUGUGACAUUUCAUCAUCUCUGCAACCAAAAACGUAUGUCGUGUCAAUGAUUCAGAAAAGUAUAUAUAUUAUAGAAGAUUGUUUUUUAUGAUGUUUUCAAUGAUAUAAAACCAAAAAGUUUGAAAUGUAUUAUUGUUUCUAAAUCUAGAUCUAAAAAAACUAAAUCUAAAUAACCCUAAAUCAAUCUCCUCCCAAACCCAAUUCUUUUCUAUCCCUAUUCUCAUCGCCUUCCUAUCAGACUACCACCACAGACUCACUGCUCAAAUCCGUGCACUGAUUUGCUCGGUGGUGGUUAUUCCACGAUUGUGUUCCUCGUGGUUAAAAUUUCCAGAUUUUAAAUUUUUUUCUUUCAAUUUGCAGAAUUGUAGGUUAAAUUUCAUGUUCACCUGGGCUAAUGAACUGAGCCCGACUAUGAACUCGGCCAAACCAGGGGUACCAAUUAAAUAGUCUCCACUUCAACUUAUACUCCCUAAUAUGCUUAAAACACUUCAACACUAGGUUAUCACAAUUCACAAACAUAAAGAUAUCCUAGCUUAACAUAUCAUGAAGCUACACAAUAUAAUCUCCUCCCAAUUGAAGUACUAUGUGAUACAUUUUCACAUAUGGUUUUCACAUGCCAAACAUAGGUAGAUUAGCUUAACUAGUCACAAUAGCUAUUAAGGUUUCUAAGGGUCUGGAGUUCGAGUCUCGUUAUGUACAUUUUCACUACGAUUUGCCCAGUGAUAUAUUAUGUGACUCUUGUAUAUCACUCGGAGGUAGACCUUUCUAGUUUCUACAUCUUGUAGAGAGGUGUCUUCCGUUAUCAAAAAAAAAAGUUUCGCAUGCUACAAUGUUUGCAGUCACCCAAACAAAUUAAGGUAAUGAGGAUUACAAACCAAAGCAACAUGCUUUCCGUUUGUAGAGGAAGAGUCUCUGGAACAAAUGUUAUUGCAGUUGACGCACAUACUGAACUCAGUCAUUUAGACAAUUUUGAAUUCAAUGCAGCCAUUUGAUAAUUUAAGUGAUCCAGAAGAACAAAAGUCGUCGAAAUUUUCCAACGGCUAGACUCUUGGAGCACUGGAGCCUCCACUGAGCUAUUACCUAUCUUGGAAUGUUUGGUUUUACGUGUAAGGGGUGAAGCAAGUAAGAAACACACUUCGGUCACCAGAAUUAAUGAUAUCGGUAUUAUUUUUGAUGAUAGAGUAAAAAAAACAAUUAAUCACCGAUCGAGUUUAAUGCAAGGGGAGAAUACAAUACUAACAAAAUAAACAUAAAACGAAAAUAAUCUCUCAGAAUAUUUCUUGAAUAUUUAAACAGAUCAAUUACUAACCUAAUAUAUAGCCCAACUUCAAAUGCAAGAUAUAUUUGGUGAAGUUAAAAUUCUAAAUUACACUUACUUGUUAGCUUUUUGCAGACUUUUAAAAGCAGAUACAACACCCCUGCAUAUCUCUAACAAAGAACAGUCUUUCUUGCUAGCAUCGUACUUUGGAUCAUCAUGAAGAUGAAGAUAAGCCUAAAAAUUAAAUUUUCUUUAAAAAUAAACUAUAAGUAUGGCUAAUUUGGCAAAAAAAACGAAAUGCAAAGAGCUAUUUACUGCAUUUAUAACAAAAAAUCAUAUACAUUACGUGAGAGAAUUGUGAUUCGUGUUUCAAAACUACUAUUGUGGGAGUUGAUUCUGAUGAGAACAGUGAUGAACAGUCAGAACCAAAAUCAAAACAACCAGAGUAUACUUCACAAUAUGUUAGGAGAUCACUGAGGUCUAGAAAGAAGCCAGAUAGAUUUUGAUUUCCAAUUGUUAAUAACAUUCUAUUUACAAAUGAGGGUGAACCAGAAAAUUACAAGUCUUGAAUCAUGCUGAUUCAGAACGGUAGGAGUUUGGCUAUGAAAGAUGAGUUAAAAUCCCUUGCUGAAAUUGGAACUUGGAGACUAACUUCUACAUCAAGGAAAGAAAGCACUCCAUAACAAAUAGGUGUUCAGGCUAAAAGAGGAAGCUAAUGGCAGGAAAAUGUUCAAAGCAAGACUUGUUGUCAAGGGUUUUCAACAGGUACAAAAUUUAGAUUAUUCUAAAGUAUUUUCCCAUGUUGUUAAG